CCUCCCUGAGUCUUGCGCACCGGGAGCAGCCCCCCGGGCACCGGCAGCAUCCCCAGCACCUCCUCCCUCGGAGCCACCCCGUCCCCGUUCCCGGCCGCGGACGGCACUUACCGUCCUGAGGUGUGGUGGCGGCGUGAGGCCUGAGGGCUGGGGUUGCAACAGGAACGGCCACACGCGCAGCCACAAACCCCACGAGCGGAGCACCUAUUAGCACUCCAUGUGGCCCAGCACCAACAUCAGGGGAGGUUCAGAGCGUUUCCCUGCUUCAUUAGAAUGAGCACGUCUGAAUUCUUCAUACCUACACCGGUCGGCACGGUGUGCGCACGCUGCACAGCAUCACACCCGCUGCUGCUGUGCACCCUGCCUGAAGCACUGGGGUUGUCCCUGUUCCUGUCCCUUCCUGCGCUGCCCUCAUUCUCCAUGGGACCAUUUUCAAGAAGCUUCUUGCAGAUGAGCGUCAUGGCCCCACCAGCAGUAGAGGAAAAUCCGCCCCCGUGUGCAGCUGCACACCCGUCCCGCCGCCCCCCCGGCUUUGCAUAGACGGCACAGCGUGGCAAAUGCAAAUACUGGCGGCAUGCACAUUUGGACACACGGUGCACAGGACACACAUCAAGGCACCGGGGAGCACCAGCCACCACCAAGGCAGACUGAGAGCAUCCCCAUGGCAGAGCCCCUGUUUUCUGGGGUGCCAGCACAGGACUCCUUUGGGAACAGGGACCUGACCAUGGAGGUGACAACGCUCUUGGAGCUGGAGAGGUCGUGGCUUUUCACGGCGGGUCCCUCUCGGGGACCCGCCGUGAAAAGCCACGACCUCUCCAGCUCCUGGUUAAUCUGGGGUGAAGCCAAAGGGUGCUACCAAAUACCUGGCAAGGUGGUUGAGCUGAGACCAAGCGUGGGCAGGAGGGAGCCAUGCCGCAUCCCCCCUGGCAGCGUUUGGGUGGCAGGGUCUGCUUCAUUUCUAUUCCACGCGCGCAGCCUGUAAUUUUGGUCUAUUGAAGUCAUAAUUCACUACUGUGAAAAUAAACAUUUGUGUUAGCCCGCUUUA